CCCCUUUCAUCGCCCGGCCCCUGCCCCUAUAUUGAGGGUGUCUUCGGACUAUGGCGAUAAACGCGCGUGUAAUAAGCGGCUCGGACCCGGGGGCGGUACCCGGCGGCUCCACCAAAAGCAGGUUCUCACGGGCCUGCUCCUGACGGGGCCGAAAUAGGAUCGACGGACGUGUAAAGACGAGGCCUUCGCCGGAUUGGGCCCCCUCAGAAGCCCAAAUCAACAUAGUUGCAAACGACAACUUUGCUGAAGGUGAACUGAUGGCUGCGUAAGCAGUCGGAUGAUUACCGAACUUAACUCCUAGGGUUUCAGACCCCUAGGCGGGGCCCGGAGGCGCCUGGCAACAGAAGCCUCCACU
rnacentral:tmRNA from 1 species